AAUUUUUCUGUUUUUCUGUGUAGUUUUUUUUUUUUUUUCCAUUAU
rnacentral:ribozyme from 1 species